rnacentral:snoRNA from 1 species
CAUCUCUAUGAUGAAUAAUUUUUUAGAAUUAAAAGUAGUGGACUGAUUUCUGAUGAGAAACAUAUCAUAUUUCUGAGGGAUG